AGCAGGUACCCAUCUGCCACGAAGCUGCUUGCGUCAUGACGUCGUAUCAUUUUGGUUCCUUUGUCUGCUGAACUGUGCUGGGGACUGAGGCUUCUGUGGUGGCUGUGGUGACCCCUGGUGGCGGUGUCUUGUUUUGUGUGUUUUGUGGGAGCUCCUUUAUUUUUUUUGUUUGCCGUGUUUUUGUAGUGUCCAGGGUGAUCCUUUUUCGUCACUCGAUGCUGCCCCUUUUCUCACCACUUCCCCCUCCCACUGAGUCUCCAGCCCAGAAGAGCCUCCAGCUGGUUCCAAUUGGACGCAAUCAGGGAGCAGUAUUUAGAGGAGUGGAUUUCCUGGGAAGGACGCCAGUCGGUUAAUUUCCACGCAGUGAAGCCUUGCAGUCCCAAGUCGGUUCUCUUCUCAGUCCUCCUGGAUCCAUCCUCCGCUGCUCACCUGCCUGUCCACCCUCUGGAGCUCUCAAGUCGAAACCCGACACCUCAGCCAAACUCAAUCUCUGUGGGCUCAUCCAACCUCCCCUCCAUCUGCUCCGCUCUCCAUGGAUCUUUCCUGAUUAAGCUGCUGUUUCCUGAGCAUCUUCGCCGGUCCAAAACUAUCUCUCUGUUAAAACUUUUCAAUAAACUUUCUAAACCGCUUCCUGACUCGUGUUGUGUCUGCGUCAGAGUCAACUCUAGAAUCAUGUCACAUUCACUGUUUUAACCAUUUAAUUGCAGAUUAUUGUGACUAUUUUUAA